rnacentral:rRNA from 1 species
CCUACGGGUGGCAGCAGUGGGGAAUAUUGCACAAUGGGGGAAACCCUGAUGCAGCGACGCCGCGUGAGUGAAGAAGUCUUUCGGUAUGUAAAGCUCUAUCAGCAGGGAAGAAAAUGACGGUACCUGAGCAAGAAGCCCCUGCUAAAUACGUGCCAGCAGCCGCGGUAAAACGUAUGGAGCAAGCGUUAUCCGGUUUUACUGGGGGAAAAGGUAGCGUAGGCGGCUUGUCAAGUCCGAGGUGGAAUACCGGGGCUCAACCCCGGGACUGCAUUGGAAACUGGCAAGCUGGAGUGCCGGAGAGGCAGGCGGAAUUCCUGGUGUAGCGGUGAAAUGCGUAGAUAUCAGGAGGAACACCGGUGGCGAAGGCGGCCUGCUGGACGGUGACUGACGUUGAGGCUCGAAAGCGUGGGGAGCAAACAGGAUUAGAUACCCGGGUAGUC